CGACGGUUAACAUACGAAGAAAGACCUACGCCACGACCGCCGCCCGCGGGUCGCCCGCUCCCUCGCGCCCCUGUUGCUCCCUCCUCGAUCCCGAUCUGGAUCGAGGGGACGAGGAGCUCCUGCCUCCCCGACGGCCGGCCUCCUCCUCGCCCCGCUGCUGCGUCCGGCGCCGCCACGGCCUCUGGAGCCAGGGAAGCCAUGGCCUGAGUUCGGCCUCGAGGUCCCCGCCGCCGUCUCCUGCAGCUUCUGCCCCGCCGCCUCACCGCCCAAGCUCGCCGUCGCACCAACCUCGGCGCCUCGCCGCCGCCGGCUCUGGUCGCCUCCACCUCCGCUCCAGUGCUUAAGGAUGGAGGAGAACGGCCUGAAGUUCGUGCUCGAUCUGGUGGUCAGGUUCCCACUUCGGCAAGAGUUCGCCGAUGACCUUAAGCACUCCGAUCCGGUGCCGCUAAGGCUGCCACCCAGGGGGAGGCUGGCGCUCUUGGCACGGAGGAUUCAAUUGGUGAAUCUGGCUGCACCCUGAGGUUAAUCGGGAGGCACCUGGAUGGACGAAAAGGGAAAGCCUAAGGCCAAGAAUAGCCGAUCAUGCAUGUAUGAGUGUCCCGCGCUGAUCAGGGAGAAGGUUCAUUGGCACAUAGACUUCUGUGUUAACAGGGCGACAACGUCAAGGAUGGCAUCUGCUAGAACUCUUUUGUGUUAGAUAAAUUGAUGAUUAUGUCUGGAUCUCCGGGGGCAGACACUAUCAUACUGAAGCUCAGCCGGACCACGACUGUCAACAGGGUCACCGUAUUCUUUGAGGAACACAAACAAUCCAGGUAUGCAUUGCUAACUUUUCUGAACUUUUACAUGCUUCAGGCUCACUCCUUGACAACACUUAGCUAUCAUAAGGAUGAGGACGGAGCACAACUCUCUCAAUUCCCAAAAUGAGGUGGACAACACUUAGCUUACAUGUUCUUUGAGGACGGAGGAAGUUUCGCCUUAAACACAACUUUUAUCUGCUCUGAAAGAGUUACAUAUUUUGAAGUUUUUGCAACUCAGCCUAAAAGAGUUGGGUAACCAAACUCAAAAUGAGGUGGACAGUGCUCAGCGUGCAGUCACAUGGAGUAUUAGUUUCAUGGGUUAAUUUAGCACUGCAUAUUAUUAAUUGUGUUUCUAUUUUUGUUUCUCUCCAGCAAGCAUGACAAUAACAAGUUUAUAUCCAUCAGUUUCUUAGUACCCUGUUGGUUUCAGUAUUAAAUGGCCACAACACUUUCCUAUUUUGUUUGAGUUUUCAUGUGCUACUCUAUUAGGAAUAACAACUAAAAACAAUGAACGUUUGAUUUGAUUUCCUUCCCAACACAAGCAACAAAUAUAAUAAAUGUCUCGCAUCCUUGACUCCAGCAAAAAAUUCAUUGACUGACAUAAUGGAUCUGUCUAUUAAUCAAGAUUGUAUUACUAAACCUCCAGAUUGAUUAUUUUUAGUUAUGCAGCACACAGUAUUCUCCCCAGUUCUGCUCGAUUGGAUUGUCAGUUCAUGUACUCUGGUAAAUCAUUAUGGAAACUUUGAUUAUAAGAAACUAAUUUGUGUUCCUGUGGGUUUAUCUAUGCUCCUUUGUCGUUGAUGCGCCUAUGUUACUGUAAUUAUUUAGUUCCUCCGCUUCUAGGAUGAUCUCGGGUUUAGUAGUGAUAUAAAAAAGCUGUACAUUUCUGCGUUUCCUCUGCUAUUGUAUUGUUUCAUCACUUUCUGCUCCUUAUGGGCUGCCACUCUUUGACACCCUUUUUGAGCUCAAACAUUUUUCGAUGUCCCUUGCAGGAUCCAAAUGAGCUUGGUUACGUACUAAAUUAUUGUUGAGGAUCUCAGGUAAUCGUUGCAGUAGAAGAUUACGCCCCUGAUCAUCAUUCUCAUUUUCAAACUUGCCAUUUAUCAGAGGAUUUGGAUGGGGUGCAUUCAUGCAUUAUAUUGGAGCAAGGACCUGCCGAGGAGGGGGAUACCAUGGGGAGGCGAACCUGGUAAAAUAGGGGUGGAAAGUAUACUAUAGGAAAGACUGUGGGGUUUGUGUAUCCUUAUCCAGGACAUUGUGAAGGCUUCUGAUGCAGUUUACAAGAAGCAAUUGGUGAGCUAAUUCAGAGAUAAGUGAAAUGAUAAUAAGAAGGUUAAAUAAUGUUGUUCAAUCUUUCCGUCAAGCAACCUGUUUGGCCCCAAAUGUCCGCACCGACGCGGUGACGCCCGUGGGCGCCACCGUUCCUUCCUGAAGGGCAUCGGGUGUUGCUUGGCAUGCGGAGGUUCAAGGUGCUAGGAGCGAGGUGGUAAAUCUCCGGUGGGCGCAGCGGUUGCGGGUCAUCAUCAUUUUCGUCGAUCCGACGCUGUCGACAUUAUUUUCUCUCUUCUUUCUCUUUUUUUUUUCUUUUGGGCGUGCUUGUGCUGUUUGCCCCAGCAUUGGACUCUUGGUUGUAUUGGGUUGUUGCUAUAUCUAUAUAGCGGGGCGAAAGCCUAUUUCGUAAGAUUCUUCCAUGAAUUCAAGACUUGGCAAACCACUCCCAUUACAAGGUUCCAUAACACAUGCUGGAUUUGUAUGUCAAGAUAUCUGAAGGGCAAAAACUUAGUACAUCUAUUCUGUUUUUUUAAUAAAUCUCCCUCUUGAAAUGAGCUACAA